UAGGGAUCCUUCCAACCUGAGGCCUUCUGAAGGAUAGAAAUUGAAGACAUGAACUUUCCUGAUAUGGGAGAAGUAUGAGGUGUCUUCAGUGCCAGCACAACAGUAGCCUAAAGUUGGAUAAACUUUUUUCCCACCGCCAUCCUAGAAGAGAAGUCAGUGAAGAUCCCUGUGCUAAAAUAUGCAGGCAAAUCCAUUUCGUGCCCUCAGCCUCAGAGCACCAGCCAGAGGUCUGUGGCCAUGCUGGUGUGAAUUGUUCUGCCUAUCUGCUGUGGCCGUUCUGAAAGUUCCAUCUUACGGAAGAGAUUUGUUCCUUACUGCCCAAAGGCAGCAGUUUGCCCAAAUCGUGUUAUUAUUCCUCAACUGAAUCCUGGCUAAAUAAAUAACAAGGUCUGUACAUUUUUCACAGAACAAGAACCUCACAGUCACUGUAAGUAGCAGCAAAUUAUUCUGUUUCCACCCAUGUGGCUGCCUGCCUGACCACCCUCCACAGGACUGUGGGAGACUUUACUUGGGAAACUGGCACAGGCACCGCAAAGCUGAGAGCAACAGUGGCAAGAAAGGAUUUGCAGCAGCAGCUGUGGGAUUUAUGUGAGAUCUUGUCACAAUGUGGUGGAGGUGUGGAAUGAAGAAGUGAAGACAGACUCUUCCAGAGCUCUGCUGCUGUUGUGCCAGGCAACAUGAGGGAGUCCAAAGGGACUGAUGCAUCCCAAAGCUGGGGCUGACGAUGCCUGUGUUUGUUUCUGAGUGACUCUCAAAGCACACAGGUGACUUUCUGCAGAGAUCUCUGCCCUGGCACUGGAGACUGAGCUCAGUGUAGGGAAUCUGCCCCUGGCCACCUUGGGAUGUUUUCGGGCAUGAGGCGCUGGCCAGCUUUCCACCUCGCCUCUCCCUGGUACCCUUCAUUCCUUCAGACAUGGCAGAGGGAGUGACUGUGCUGUCUCAACGUUAUGCAUCUUAUUUCAAGAACACUUUAGGUCACGCUUCUAUUUGACCUAAGUUUCCCUGCUCAAAUGCAAUCCUUCACAUCCUCCAUUGUUAGCAGAAAGCUUUGUACCUUGGC